rnacentral:rRNA from 1 species
AUUGAACGCUGGCGGCAGGCUUAACACAUGCAAGUCGAGCGGAGACUUCGGUCUUAGCGGCGAACGGGUGAGUAAUACCUAGGAAUCUGCCUAUUAGUGGGGGAUAACGAAUCGAAAGGUUCGCUAAUACCGCAUACGUCCUACGGGAGAAAGGGGGGAGUCUUCGGACCUCUCGCUAAUAGAUGAGCCUAGGCCGGAUUAGCUAAUUGGUAGGGUAAAGGCCUACCAAGGCGACGAUCUGUAGCUGGUCUGAGAGGAUGGCCAGCCACACUGGAACUGAGACACGGUCCAGACUCCUACGGGAGGCAGCAGUGGGGAAUAUUGGACAAUGGGGGCGAACCCUGAUCCAGCCAUGCCGCGCGAAUGAGGAAGGCCUUAGGUUGUAAAAUACUUUCAGAUGCGAAGAUAAU